GAUGAACGCUGGCGGCGUGCCUAAUACAUGCAAGUCGAGCGAAUGGAUUGAGAGCUUGCUCUUAUGAAGUUAGCGGCGGACGGGUGAGUAACACGUGGGUAACCUGCCCAUAAGACUGGGAUAACUCCGGGAAACCGGGGCUAAUACCGGAUAACAUUUUGAACCGCAUGGUUCGAAAUUGAAAGGCGGCUUCGGCUGUCACUUAUGGAUGGACCCGCGUCGCAUUAGCUAGUUGGUAAGGUAACGGCUCACCAAGGCAACGAUGCGUAGCCGACCUGGGAGGGUGAGCGGCCACACGGGGACUGAGACACGGCCCAGACUCCUACGGGAGGCAGCAGUAGGGAAUCUUCCGCAAUGGACGAAAGUCUGACGGAGCAACGCCGCGUGAGUGAUGAAGGCUUUCGGGUCGUAAAACUCUGUUGUUAGGGAAGAACAAGUGCUAGUUGAAUAAGCUGGCACCUUGACGGUACCUAACCAGAAGGCCACGGCUAACUACGUGCCAGCAGCCGCCGUAA
rnacentral:rRNA from 1 species